ACCUCAUCACGAGGGACUGAGGGAACGGCCCGACGACGUCCCGGCAACCGCCGCGAACCUCCUGCCACCACGGCAGUCGCGGAAACGGUGCCAAUUCCGUCCCGGUGCGAAAGCCGCCCGGGGUAGAUGAGAA
rnacentral:ncRNA from 2 species